GGGAGAUUCAGCCAACUUUGGUGCUAACUUCGAAAUCAUGAUAUCAAAUUAACCAGCAUUCCUCCUGCAUCCUUGGCGGAGGUAAGAUGUUAUACUUGUUCACUAAUUU